GUUCUCUGUCUGACGGGUUUGAAAAAAAUCGAAUCCGAAAAGCCGUUGGAACGAACCGGACUUUGAUUCGAGAAUUCACGAUGCGUACUCCGAGCGGCCGACAAACAGGCGGCUCGAUAUUCCGUUACCUCCAGCGUUUCCGCGGCAAGGCAUGUAUUAUACCCGAGUGAGGAAUUUCCUCUCGCUGCCAGCUCGAAAUUUUCGUCAAAUUACGAAGCGGCGCGCGUUCGCCUGACGUAAGCUUGGCAACGGCGCUUUCAUCAAACUGCCUAACGCUCUGCUCGGUUCCUGCUCUUCUACCACCACCGGCUGCAUCGGUCGGCUAGCCGUCAGGAUCGGGAGGAGAGGCGGUUUCACGGAACAAGGGGAGAGGUAGAAAAGAGACGAGAGAAAAGUGGGGAAUGAAAGAGAGAAAAAGAGACAGACACAAAGCCGGAUAGGAACCUUGGGAGAUUCGAAAUAUUUCCAAAAUUCGCCGGAGGGAAAAAGUGGAAUGGAAAAAAAAAAAUAAAACCGUACGAAACGAUGAUUCCUUUCCAUUAUCAUGGGGGAAAAAAGUAAACCACAAUUUCCAACACACGUAGAGACACGCACAUACGCAUGUAAAUCGAUCUUCUUUGCCUGGGAACCAACCAAUGAAGAGAUUAUGAA